rnacentral:lncRNA from 1 species
UAACAUUUCAAUGCAAAGUGAUCCCUUACAGUUAAUCAAUCAAUUCUUGUUAAUGAGUUGAGAGUGAAAUGAGUGCUGACUACCCCCUGACUGAAUUAUCCCCGUGCCUGUCGUUGGCGGAAUGAGCCUCCCACGCAGAAAAUUCUUGGGACAAUAGUAGCACAACAGAACUCAAGCAGGAAAAUGACGGAGCAGGCCCAUCACUACGGCUAUCUUACUGGCUCGCUCGUCCCUGCCUGGUCCAGACGCAACCUCAGCCCAGAGGGGAUACGACGCUGCCGGCCAACUGCUUCGCCGUCCGCUCGGAUCUCGCUCCCUCCCUGUUGCAGGAUGCGCGGCCCCGCCAGCCCCUUACCCAGCUCCGCGCGGAGCCAUGGGAAGGGGUCUCGGCCCCUCGGAAACAAGAAGACUGGUCGGGGAAGCCCUAGCCGAGGGCUCUCCAGGAAGGCCUCGCUAGACAGCCCCGCUCAGGAUAGUACGGGUUCGCCCUCACAGAGUGGGGUCCUCUCUACUGGGAUCCAGGAGAAACGGAAACUGGGUCCGGGGCCCUCCCCGGGGCUGGAGAGAGAUCGGCCCGGUUCUUUUCUCUUUCCUUCCAGCUGCGAUGAGGAUGCCACCCAGACUGCCAAGCGCCGCUGUAUCCGGGUCUCUCCGCUGGCUGCAGAUGGCAGGAAGCUCGUGACCUCCAUUUCCAAGAAGCCUGGCUCAACCCCGUCCAUCAGAAGCCCAGUGCCAUUCCAGGUCCUGCUGGAUGGUGAACCCAUCACCGUGAAUGAGCUGGAGAUGGCCUUCCAGAGAUUCUUUGGUUCCCAGCGGUCAGGGCUGGAGGUCCCGACACUGAAGUGGGUGGAUGGCUCCGUCCUGAAGUCAGACCAGGAGGCCAAUCCCCACCUCUCCUCCCUCACAGCGCAGGCCAGAGGCAGGUCAAAUCCACUGAGCGACAAUGAGGACUUCUGCCUCAUGUCUGCGGUCUCCUCGCCCCGAGCCAUCUCCAUCCACAAGCUGCGGC